UACGGAGGGUGCGAGCGUUGUCCGGAAUCACUGGGCGUAAAGGGCGCGUAGGCGGCCUGAUAAGUAGGGGGUGAAAUCCUGCGGCUUAACCGCAGGGCUGCCUUCUAAACUGUCAGGCUCGAGCACAGUAGAGGCAGGUGGAAUUCCCGGUGUAGCGGUGGAAUGCGUAGAGAUCGGGAAGAACAUCAGUGGCGAAGGCGGCCUGCUGGGCUGUUGCUGACGCUGAGGCGCGACAACGUGGGGAGCAAACAGG
rnacentral:rRNA from 1 species